CCUACGGGUGGCAGCAGUGGGGAAUAUUGCACAAUGGGCGAAACCCUGAUGCAGCGACGCCGCGUGAGUGAAGAAGUAAUUCUUUAUGUAAAGCUCUAUCAGCAGGGAAGAAAAUGACGGUACCUGAGUAAGAAUCCCCGGCUAACUACGUGCCAGCAGCCGCGGUAAUAUGUAGGGGGCAAGCGUAAUCCGGAUUUACUGGGUGUAAAGGGAGCGUAGACGGGAGUGCAAGUCUGGAGUGAAAGGCGGGGGCUCAACCCCCGGACUGCUCUGGAAACUGUACGGCUGGAGUGCAGGAGAGGUAGGUGGAAUUCCUAGUGUAGCGGUGAAAUGCGUAGAUAUUAGGAAGAACACCAGUGGCGAAGGCAGCUUACUGGACUGUAACUGACGUUGAGGCUCGAAAGCGUGGGGAGCAAACAGGAUUAGAUACCCUUGUAGUC
rnacentral:rRNA from 1 species